rnacentral:rRNA from 1 species
GAGAUAGAAAGUUACUCGGUACGAUCGGUGACAGGUGGUGCAUGGUUGUCGUCAGCUCGUGUCGUGAGAUGUUGGGUUAAGUCCCGCAACGAGCGCAACCCCUAUUGUUAGUUGCCAUCAUUCAGUUGGGCACUCUAGCGAGACUGCCGGUAAUAAACCGGAGGAAGGUGGGGAGUGACGUCAAAUCAUCAUGCCCCUUAUGACCUGGGCUACACACGUGCUACAAUGGUUGGUACAACGAGUUGCGAGUCGGUGACGGCGAGCUAAUCUCUUAAAGCCAAUCUCAGUUCGGAUUGUAGGCUGCAACUCGCCUACAUGAAGUCGGAAUCGCUAGUAAUCGCGGAUCAGCACGCCGCGGUGAAUACGUUCCCGGGCCUU